rnacentral:rRNA from 1 species
UACGUAGGGUGCAGGCGUUACUCGGAAUUACUGGGCGUAAAGCGUGCGCAGGCGGUCUCUUAAGACAGGUGUGAAAUCCCCGGGCUUAACCUGGGAACUGCGCUUGUAACUGAGAGGCUAGAGUGUGGCAGAGGGGGGUGGAAUUCCACGUGUAGCAGUGAAAUGCGUAGAUAUGUGGAGGAACACCGAUGGCGAAGGCAGCCCCCUGGGCUAACACUGACGCUCAUGCACGAAAGCGUGGAGAGCAAACAGG